rnacentral:tRNA from 1 species
UUCCCUCUAGCUCAAGUGGUAAAGCAUCUGCCUGCAAUGCAGGAGACCUGGGUUCGAUCCCUGGGUCAGGAA